rnacentral:rRNA from 1 species
GUGGAGCAUGUGGUUUAAUUCGAAGCAACGCGCAGAACCUUACCAGCCUUUGACAUGGCGGGACGGGCGAGAGAGAUUUCGUCCUUCACUUCGGUGACCCGCGCACAGGUGCUGCAUGGCUGUCGUCAGCUCGUGUCGUGAGAUGUUGGGUUAAGUCCCGCAACGAGCGCAACCCACGUCCUCAGUUGCCAUCAUUCAGUUGGGCACUCUGGGGAGACUGCCGGUGAUAAGCCGCGAGGAAGGUGUGGAUGACGUCAAGUCCUCAUGGCCCUUACGGGCUGGGCUACACACGUGCUACAAUGGCGGUGACAGAGGGAUGCCAACCCGCGAGGGUGCGCCAAUCUCGAAAAACCGUCUCAGUUCGGAUUGCACUCUGCAACUCGAGUGCAUGAAGUUGGAAUCGCUAGUAAUCGUGGAUCAGCACGCCACGGUGAAUACGUUCCCGGGCCUUGUACACACCGCCCGUCACACCAUGGGAGUUGGUUCUACCCGAAGGCGCUUCGCCAACCCGCGAGGGAAGCAGGCGACCACGGUAGGG